CAACCCAAAUCCAAUAUAUUAAUAAAACAUAAUAACAUUUGAAUUCAAUUUACACAAUGUUGUGGAAAAUAUAAUAUCACCCCGGUGUGAAAUUUCUACCAGUAUUAAAACUUGAUAACCAGACCAAUAUUAACAUUAAAACAUUUUUCAUUCAAUAUAGAUUUCUAUAUAAAACUUGUUAUGUCAACCGACAUGCAUAUGUAACUAUAACCAAAUGCUGUAAAUUUAAUCAUGUUUGUUCAAAAUUAAGGAAUGCUAUGAACAUUAAUAUUUCAGUUUAAAAUACCUAAACUGCAUUCAUCUAGAAAAAACUUUUCAGCAACAAGAACAGAACUUCCAAAACAAACCAAAGCUAGCUAGUUGCAUCUUCAUCGAAAUACAUACUCUCCUCAACAAAAACAAUGUACAGAUUGAGGCGUGUAGCUGCAAAUGGAGAAAGAUCGGAAAACGACUGACGAGUGAAACAAACGAGAAGGCGAUGGAAGAUAAGACCGAAUUUUUUUUUGUGAUAAACCGAUUUGUUGGAGGUUCGCGAUGGAGGUUGGUGACGGACGGAGGUUGAAGGGAGUUGGAGUAAGGACGGCGAUGUGGUUCGCGUGGAGAAGCGUUGUCGGCGGCGGCGCGGUGAUGUAGGGGGUUCGGAACACGAUGCCGAAAGCGGAGGAGGCGAGCGAUGGUGGUUUUGUGGAGGUGGAAGCGGAGAGUUUGUGAUGUGAACGGAAAGGGGUUGUUGGUGGUUGGUUCGCCGGUGAUUUGUGGUGGUGAGAGUUGUUGGCCUUCUGGGAAAGAAGAAGGAUCCUUUCUUUUUCGUUUUCCUUUUUUAUUACAAUUUUUUAGCAGAGAGAGUAUGUGAGAGUGAGGUUUUCUUUUGUGAGUGGAGAGAGAGAAGAAGAUGGUAGGCGUGUGUAGGUGAGGUAACGUGUUAGAAGAAUCCCCAAAACGUGAGUGUGGUACUGAGGAUUUAAUGACACAUUGGAGAGAGAGUAAAAGGUGAAGAAAACGUGUGU
rnacentral:lncRNA from 1 species